rnacentral:ncRNA from 1 species
CUACACGUAUUGAUAAGGACAUGAAGCAUUGAUACCGGCUUUAUAAGAGAGGAGAGCCCAGGCUGAAAGCUUUCCAGCUAUGGAUCAUUGUCUUUACCGCCUUUGAACUUCAGCUGUGAACGCCGGAAGAAGCGCCAGUAAUAGCUGACGGGAACUCCCGUUACAGAGUUUAGAGCCGCAGGUGCCGAAACAAUCGGCCGCGCGGAAAAAAGGGUGGAACCACGAUUCCGUUUAUUUAACCUCGUCCCUUUC